GGCCAUAUCACGUUGAAACAGAGGUUCUCGUACGAUCACCGAAGGUAAGCAACGUCGAGCCAGGGCGGUACCUAGAUGGGUGACCGCUUGUGAAUAACAGGUGCUGCAAG